rnacentral:rRNA from 1 species
AUCGAACGCUGGCGGCAGGCCUAACACAUGCAAGUCGAGCGGUUGAAGGGAGCUUGUUCCUGGAGUCAGCGGCGGACGGGUGAGUAAUGCCUAGGAAUCUGCCUGCUAGUGGGUGAGAACGACCGGAAACGGGCGCUAAUACCGCAUACGUCCUGAGGGAGAAAGUGGGGGAGCUUCGGACCCCACGCUAUCAGAUGAGCCGAGGGCGGAUGAGCUAGUUGGUGGGGUAGGGGCCUACCAAGGCGAGGAUCUGUAACUGGUCUGAGGGGAUGAUCAGUCACGCGAGAACUGGGACGCGGUCCAGGCUCCUCCGUGCGGCAGCAGUGGGUAGUAUUGGACAAGGGCGAAAGCCUGAUCCAGCCGUGCCGCGUGUGUGAAGACGGUCUUCUGGUUGUAAAGCACUUUAAGUUGGGAGGAAGGGCAGUAAGUUAAUACCUUGCUGUUUUGACGUUACCACCAGAAUAAGCGCCGGCUAACUUCGUG